CCUACGGGAGGCAGCAGUGGGGAAUAUUGCACAAUGGGCGCAAGCCUGAUGCAGCCAUGCCGCGUGUAUGAAGAAGGCCUUCGGGUUGUAAAGUACUUUCAGCGGGGAGGAAGGCGAUGNGGUUAAUAACCGCGUCGAUUGACGUUACCCGCAGAAGAAGCACCGGCUAACUCCGUGCCAGCAG
rnacentral:rRNA from 1 species